UACAGAGGUCUCAAGCGUUGUUCGGAGUCAUUGGGCGGAAAGGGUGCGUAGGCGGCGCGGUAAGUCGGGUGUGAAAUUUCGAGGCUUAACUUCGAAACUGCAUUCGAUACUGCCGUGCUUGAGGACUGGAGAGGAGACUGGAAUUUACGGUGUAGCGGUGAAAUGCGUAGAUAUCGUAAGGAAGACCAGUGGCGAAGGCGGGUCUCUGGACAGUUACUGACGCUGAGGCACGAAGGCCAGGGGAGCAAACGGG
rnacentral:rRNA from 1 species